GAGGAAUAUUGGACAAUGGGCGAAAGCCUGAUCCAGCCAUGCCGCGUGCACGAAGACGGCCCUAUGGGUUGUAAACUGCUUUUAUACGGGAAGAAACACCCUCUCGAGUAGGGGGCUUGACGGUACCGUAUGAAUAAGGAUCGGCUAACUCCGUGCCAGCAGCCGCGGUAAUACGGAGGAUCCGAGCGUUAUCCGGAAUCAUUGGGUUUAAAGGGUCCGUAGGCGGGAGAAUUAGUCAGUGGUGAAAGUCUGUGGCUCAACCAUAGAAUUGCCGUUGAAACUGUUUUCCUUGAGUCAUUAUGAAGUGGUUAGAACAUGUAGUGUAGCGGUGAAAUGCAUAGAUAUUACAUAGAAUACCGAUUGCGUAGGCAGAUCACUAAUAAUGUACUGACGCUGAGGGACGAAAGCGUAGGUAGCGAACAGGAUUAGAUACCCUGGUAGUCUACGCCGUAAACGAUGGUUACUAGCUGUUUGUCCAUUGAGGAUGAGUGGUUAAGCGAAAGUGAUAAGUAACCCACCUGGGGGAGUACGUUCGCAAGAAUG
rnacentral:rRNA from 1 species